rnacentral:lncRNA from 1 species
UUAGAUUUCUUUUCUCUCUACUACUCCUAUAGCAAAAUGGGGUUGUUUAACAUCUCAUUUUUGCUCAUUAGUCUCAUGGUAUUAACCAUAUUUCACACUUGUGAUUCCCAAAAUUCACCCCAAGACUAUUUUGCGGUUCACAACGAUGCCUGCGCCCAAGUUGGAGUUGGGCCAAUGUCUUAGGAUGCUUCACAACGAUGCCCGCGCCCAAGUUGGAAUUGGGCCAAUGUCUUAGGAUGCUGGCUUGGCAUCUCGAGCACAAAAUUAUGCCAACUCAAGAGCUGGUAAUUGCAACUUGAUUCAUUCUGGUGCAUGGGAGAACCUUGCCAAGACCGGUGGUAAUUUCACGGGGAGGGCCGCCGUGCAAUUGUGGGUAUCGAAAAAGCUAAACUACAACUACGGUACCCACCAAUGUGCUAGCGGGCAAAUGUGCGGACAUUAUACUCAAGUAGUUGGCGCAACUCAGUCCGACUAGGUUGUGGUCGGGUUCGUUGUAACAACGGGUGGUGGUUCAUUUCUUGCAACUAUGAUCAUGUAGGCAACUGGGCCGGAAAACGUCCUUAUUAAGGUGUCGUUUAUUUAUGACAUAUUGCUAGUAUUAAAUAAAAUUUUUAUAUUACAUGUCAAGGAGUUAAAAUUUAAAUCUGGCAAGUGGAUCGGAUCGAUCUCCUAUAUAUCCAAGAUGUUAAGGGAUCAAAUAUAUAAUUAUUGUUUUGAUUUCCCUUUGAUAUUGCUAGUAUGAAUAAUUCCACGUAUCAUAUGUUCAUGGUAUCGUGCUUAGGUUCUUUACUUUUUCAAAAUUAUGAAAUUUAUAUAUUAAAAAAUUAAGUGGAGUAAUUAAUUGGGAAAACUACAUAGAUAGAUCCAAUUAUGAAAAUUUAUCUAAUUUGGACUUUAUUCAAACUUUUUAUCUUUAAUGGAUCUAUGCCACAAACAAUUUAUCCGUUUAUCCACUUUCUCCUUUCUUAUUUCACGUAUGAUAUCAGAAUAACGUUAGCAUAACUAUUAUGAAUUUAUCUUUUGUGAUAUAUCUUGUCAGUAUCAUAUAGGAUUUAACUCUUUUUUUAAAAAUAAUUAAGAAAAAAUUAUUAAAGUCACAAUAUUAUUUACUAAACUCUACAUUAGAAGAAAUUAUAUUUUUUAAAUUAGAAUAGAGUUACCCUCAAUGAUACCAUGAUACUAUGUAGAUAUACUGCAAUUGUAUCAUGGACGAUUAAAUAUUCUCAUCGAAGGACUAAAGCGAACCAUAAUGAAAACAUUGUUCAAUUACUCAUUAAUACCAUCCGAGUAUAUUAUACUUGAUCAUAUCAAAGAGGAAGAAACAGUUCUUCAAUGAAGACAUUGUUUAAUGACACUUUUAUACCAUCAGAGUAUAUUAAUAUAUGACUGUAUUAUAUUGUGAUGAUAUAGUAUAUAAUUGUAUUUGAUUUUCAAAAUCACAGUGUAGUUUUGACGGACUCAAACUAGCAAGUCUUUUCCAAAACAAACAAGUAAUUCCAAACAAUUUGUAUUAUAUUUUAAUACGAACACAGUCAAAUAAAAAAAGAGAUAAGUGUCAUAAAUACACCUAAACUAUACAUUUUUUUGAGUUUUUUAAAAUAUUGAAAGUUUCAUUACCUAACCUAUCACUUUUUAGUUUGAGAAACACACCUCUCUCUUUUAUACCACUUUCAUCAUGAUAUGUGUAAUACACACUCUCUCUCUUUUAUUUUAAAGAAUUUUCACAUCACACUCCACAUGGACAAAAUAUUCAAUCUUGACAAAAAAUAAAUAAAUUAUUAGUAUUAGUUAAAAUUAAAAAUUAAGAAACUAUUAUAAAAAAUAAUAUUUUCUUUAUAAAAGAAAAUGUAAAAUAUUUUUCUUAUCCCGCGCUGUUUCUUAAAGUUUUUUAUUUUGUUUAAAUUUCUUUUAUAAAAGUAUUUCAUUUUUUACUUCAUCUCCUCCCCUUCAUCAAAUACUAAUUUAAGUAUUAUUGUAUUUGCUUAAAAAUAUAAUUCUACCCAUCUCACUUAAUCCUCAGCUUUCAGUUUUUUCCCCAGUGUUUAGGUAUAUAUAUAUCGAAAAUAUUUUUACUUGUUGUCAUAAGACUUUUUAUUUUUUUUAGUUGUUUAUGUUAUAUUCGGUACACUAGUAGAAUUUUUUUCUCUAAAAAUAUAUGUACGUGCAUAUCUAACACAAAAUAAGAAAAACGUAAAAAAAAAAAUUAGAAGCGAAAAAUUUAAUAGGAUGUGAUAGAUUUUCUAAAAAUAAAUAAGUAUCAAUUUCUAUCCGGGGGGGGGGGGGUGUGGAGGGGAGGGGGUGGAUGAAAUAUGAAAUUUUUAAGAAUAUUUUAUAAAUAAUUUUUUUUAAAAAAAAGGAUGGGGAUGUCGCGGGGGAGGGAGGGGGGUACGUAAAGAAGGUGGUGGAGUGAGAUAAGAAAAAUAAUUUAAUUUUUUAUGUGCAUAGUAAUCUUUAAUUUUUAAUUAAUAUUAAUUUUUUACUGUUUAAUUUUUAUCUAGAUAAAAUAUUUUAUCUAUGUGGAAUGUCAUGUGUCAAAGUUUUUUAAUAUAAAAGAGAGAGUACACUAUACACACCACUGAGAUGUGUUUCUCAAACUAAAACGGGAUAGUUUAAAUAUGAAACUCACACUUUCGAUAGUUUAGAUAUGAAACUAAAAAAUAAAUAAUUUAAAUUUGUUUUUGAUUCUUCUCUGUAAAAUAAAUAUAUAUAUAUAUAUAUAUAUAUAUAUAUAUAUAUAUUAUCACCGAACAAAGGGAAAAUCAAAACUCUAAUAUAUUAUCAUUCACCGAAUCAAAAUCAGUGAAUUAAAAACUAUAUAAAAAUCCAUAAAUAAUUAUGUGAUGGAAUAGGAAUUCUACACACCAUAGUGAUUACCGUUGAACAUCUUUCGCCAAAAAAUUAUAUUUUAUAUAUAUACACGCUAGAAAUUACUUAAUGUGCGUAGAUAUAAUUAAACAUAUCAAACUAUUUAUGCUAUAUUUAAUACUUAUUUAAAUCGUAACUAUUUAUUCUAAAUUCAGCUCUAACACUUUUUAAAAAGUUUUUAAAAUUUUCUUUCGAAGCUACAAGGAUUGAGGCAGUUUCUAAUUUCCACAUAAAGGACCAAAAAAUUGUUUUGGUUUAAGUGUCUAUCACUUCCAUUGUUUGUUGUUUUCAUUAUAUCCAAAUUGCUUUCAAUGACUAACAAAUACUUGAGUCUUCUCUCUCUCAUAGAAUAACUUUCUUCCAAUAAAUCCACGUAAGGGCGGCUCAAUAAGUGUUGUUUAAUAUUAUCUAAAUAAUAGAGUAAAGUAUGAUUAUUCUUUAAAGCAUAUAGUAUUUCCUUAAUCACACGACAUGCAAUCUCCUUUGAAUUUUCUUCACAUGUGAAAUAAAAUUCCACAAAGUUUAAAUUUAACAAUUUUCACAAAUUUGAUUAAAUUGAACAAUCAAAGUUUGAUAAAUAUCUUAUCGAAACCAAAAGUGUUCACUUUUGAAAAAUAUAAAGGACCAAAAAAGAUCACUUUUGACAAUCUUAAGGACCAAAAUUGCUCUUAUCAUACAUAAGGGAGUCUAUUGAAACUACUAAAAAGAUAAGGAAGCCUUUUUGUCAUUUCUCUAUAAUUUCCUUUGAAUUUUCUUCAUACAUGCUAAACAAAAUUACACAAUGUUUAAUUAUAUAUACACUAUUUAAAGGACCAAAAGUAAUUAAUUCUAAAAAGUUUUAAGGACCAAAAUCACUUAGCAAAAUACACAAGAGACUAUUUUGAACUUACUAUCAAAGAUAAGAGACCAUUUUUAUCAUUUCCUCUACUAAUAAUUUCCUUUGAAUUUUCUUCACACAUACUUAGCAAAAUUCCACAAUUUUUACUUAUAAAUACACUACUUAUCUCACGUUUAUAAUCACAAUAACUUAGAUUUAUUUUCUCUCCACUAAACCUAAAGAAAAAUGGGGUUGUUCAACAUCUCAUUGUUACUCACUUGUCUCAUGGUAUUAGCCAUAUUUCACUCUUGUGAGGCCCAAAAUUCACCCCAAGACUAUCUUGCGGUUCAUAACGAUGCCCGUGCCCAAGUCGGAGUCGGGCCUAUGUCUUGGGAUGCCAACUUGGCAUCCCGAGCACAAAACUAUGCCAACUCAAGAGCUGGUGAUUGUAACUUGAUUCAUUCUGGUGCUGGGGAGAAUCUUGCCAAGGGUGGUGGUGACUUCACGGGGAGGGCAGCCGUGCAAUUGUGGGUGUCCGAGAGGCCAAGCUAUAACUACGCUACCAACCAAUGUGUUGGUGGAAAAAAGUGUAGACAUUAUACUCAAGUAGUCUGGCGCAACUCAGUCCGACUAGGUUGUGGUCGGGCACGUUGCAACAACGGAUGGUGGUUCAUUUCUUGCAACUAUGAUCCUGUAGGCAACUGGAUCGGACAACGUCCUUACUAAAAUGAUGUAUACUUAUGACAUGUUGCUAGUAUUAAAUAAAAUUCUCAUAUGAGACGUCGAGAAGUUAAAAUUUAAGUUUGACAUAUGAAUCAAGUCAAACUCCUAUCUAAAAUAUUAAGGGAUUAAAUAUUGAACAUCUAUAAUUAUUAUUAUUUCCCUUUUGAUGUUGCUAAUAUGAAUAAUUCCACAUACCAUAUGUUCAUAAUGGGCUUAAGUUGAUUAUUAAGUACUGCAUCUUCUUGUUUCCAUAAAACAUUAAUAUACAUAAAAUUUUAAUUAAGCAUGGCAUAUAUUAAUUAGGCACAUCAAGCACUUAUCUAAACACGUAACUAUUUAUUCAUAAAUUCAGUUUCAACCAUUCAAAAUAUUUGUUCUAUUUUAAGUGCCCAUCAAAAAAAAAUUCAAUCAUUACCCAAUUUUUUUUCAAUGACUAACAAAUACUCAAGUCUUCCAUAUUCUCUCAUACAAUAAUGGCCUAAAACUAUAUUUUCAUAAAAUAUUUUAUAGGUGAAAAUUGAAUUUCAUCCUUUCUUGACCUAUUGUCUUAGAUUUGAAUACCAGAAAUAAAAACAAAUAUUGCUAUUUAUUGAAAAAAUUUACGUAGCAUGAAAUUAAAUAAAUUGGCACAUAUUUAAAAUAUCUCGUCAGGAAAAAAAAAUUGUACCCCUAACAAACGUUUAAAUUUAAUAAUUUUCACAAAUGUUACUAAAUUUAACAAUGAGAGUUUGAUAAAUAUCUAAUCGUGAACAGAAAGUGUUCACUUUCGAAAAACAAAGAGGACCAAAAGUGAUCUAUUUUGACAAAUUUAAGGAUCAAAAUUGAUCCAAUCAUACAUUAGGGACUAUUUUGAAUCUACUAUAAAAAUGAUAAGGAACCAUUUUUUUGUUUUUUCAUUUUCUCUAUUAAGUUUCUUUGAAUUUUCUUCACACAUGCUAAACAAAAUUCCACAUAUUUACUUAUAUAUAUACUAUACUUAUCUCACAUUCAUAAUCACAAUAAUUUAGAUUUCUUUUCUCUCUACUACUCCUAUAGCAAAAUGGGGUUGUUUAACAUCUCAUUUUUGCUCAUUAGUCUCAUGGUAUUAACCAUAUUUCACACUUGUGAUUCCCAAAAUUCACCCCAAGACUAUUUUGCGGUUCACAACGAUGCCUGCGCCCAAGUUGGAGUUGGGCCAAUGUCUUAGGAUGCUUCACAACGAUGCCCGCGCCCAAGUUGGAAUUGGGCCAAUGUCUUAGGAUGCUGGCUUGGCAUCUCGAGCACAAAAUUAUGCCAACUCAAGAGCUGGUAAUUGCAACUUGAUUCAUUCUGGUGCAUGGGAGAACCUUGCCAAGACCGGUGGUAAUUUCACGGGGAGGGCCGCCGUGCAAUUGUGGGUAUCGAAAAAGCUAAACUACAACUACGGUACCCACCAAUGUGCUAGCGGGCAAAUGUGCGGACAUUAUACUCAAGUAGUUGGCGCAACUCAGUCCGACUAGGUUGUGGUCGGGUUCGUUGUAACAACGGGUGGUGGUUCAUUUCUUGCAACUAUGAUCAUGUAGGCAACUGGGCCGGAAAACGUCCUUAUUAAGGUGUCGUUUAUUUAUGACAUAUUGCUAGUAUUAAAUAAAAUUUUUAUAUUACAUGUCAAGGAGUUAAAAUUUAAAUCUGGCAAGUGGAUCGGAUCGAUCUCCUAUAUAUCCAAGAUGUUAAGGGAUCAAAUAUAUAAUUAUUGUUUUGAUUUCCCUUUGAUAUUGCUAGUAUGAAUAAUUCCACGUAUCAUAUGUUCAUGGUAUCGUGCUUAGGUUCUUUACUUUUUCAAAAUUAUGAAAUUUAUAUAUUAAAAAAUUAAGUGGAGUAAUUAAUUGGGAAAACUACAUAGAUAGAUCCAAUUAUGAAAAUUUAUCUAAUUUGGACUUUAUUCAAACUUUUUAUCUUUAAUGGAUCUAUGCCACAAACAAUUUAUCCGUUUAUCCACUUUCUCCUUUCUUAUUUCACGUAUGAUAUCAGAAUAACGUUAGCAUAACUAUUAUGAAUUUAUCUUUUGUGAUAUAUCUUGUCAGUAUCAUAUAGGAUUUAACUCUUUUUUUAAAAAUAAUUAAGAAAAAAUUAUUAAAGUCACAAUAUUAUUUACUAAACUCUACAUUAGAAGAAAUUAUAUUUUUUAAAUUAGAAUAGAGUUACCCUCAAUGAUACCAUGAUACUAUGUAGAUAUACUGCAAUUGUAUCAUGGACGAUUAAAUAUUCUCAUCGAAGGACUAAAGCGAACCAUAAUGAAAACAUUGUUCAAUUACUCAUUAAUACCAUCCGAGUAUAUUAUACUUGAUCAUAUCAAAGAGGAAGAAACAGUUCUUCAAUGAAGACAUUGUUUAAUGACACUUUUAUACCAUCAGAGUAUAUUAAUAUAUGACUGUAUUAUAUUGUGAUGAUAUAGUAUAUAAUUGUAUUUGAUUUUCAAAAUCACAGUGUAGUUUUGACGGACUCAAACUAGCAAGUCUUUUCCAAAACAAACAAGUAAUUCCAAACAAUUUGUAUUAUAUUUUAAUACGAACACAGUCAAAUAAAAAAAGAGAUAAGUGUCAUAAAUACACCUAAACUAUACAUUUUUUUGAGUUUUUUAAAAUAUUGAAAGUUUCAUUACCUAACCUAUCACUUUUUAGUUUGAGAAACACACCUCUCUCUUUUAUACCACUUUCAUCAUGAUAUGUGUAAUACACACUCUCUCUCUUUUAUUUUAAAGAAUUUUCACAUCACACUCCACAUGGACAAAAUAUUCAAUCUUGACAAAAAAUAAAUAAAUUAUUAGUAUUAGUUAAAAUUAAAAAUUAAGAAACUAUUAUAAAAAAUAAUAUUUUCUUUAUAAAAGAAAAUGUAAAAUAUUUUUCUUAUCCCGCGCUGUUUCUUAAAGUUUUUUAUUUUGUUUAAAUUUCUUUUAUAAAAGUAUUUCAUUUUUUACUUCAUCUCCUCCCCUUCAUCAAAUACUAAUUUAAGUAUUAUUGUAUUUGCUUAAAAAUAUAAUUCUACCCAUCUCACUUAAUCCUCAGCUUUCAGUUUUUUCCCCAGUGUUUAGGUAUAUAUAUAUCGAAAAUAUUUUUACUUGUUGUCAUAAGACUUUUUAUUUUUUUUAGUUGUUUAUGUUAUAUUCGGUACACUAGUAGAAUUUUUUUCUCUAAAAAUAUAUGUACGUGCAUAUCUAAC